GACGAACGCUGGCGGCGUGCUUAACACAUGCAAGUCGAACGGGAUGAUUUAGAAGCUUGCUUUUAGAGAAUCUAGUGGCAAACGGGUGAGUAACACGUAGACAACCUGCCGACAGGAUGGGGACAACAUUCCGAAAGGAAUGCUAAUACCGAAUGAAGUCAGAGGAGGGCAUCCUCCUCUGAUGAAAGAUGGCCUCUGAAUAUGCUAUCACCUGUUGAUGGGUCUGCGUCUGAUUAGCUAGUUGGUGAGGUAACGGCUCACCAAGGCGACGAUCAGUAGCCGGUCUGAGAGGAUGAACGGCCACAUUGGGACUGGGACACGGCCCAGACUCCUACGGGAGGCAGCAGUGGGGGAUCUUCCGCAAUGGGCGCAAGCCUGACGGAGCAACGCCGCGUGAGUGAAGAAGGUCUUCGGAUCGUAAAGCUCUGUUGACGGGGACGAACGUGCGGGGUGCGAAUAGCGCUUUGUAAUGACGGUACCUGUCGAGGAAGCCACGGCUAACUACGUG
rnacentral:rRNA from 1 species